rnacentral:rRNA from 1 species
GCUGGCGGCGUGCCUAACACAUGCAAGUCGAGCGGUAACAGGUGUAGCAAUACAUGCUGACGAGCGGCGAACGGGUGAGUAAUGCUUCGGAAUCUACCCAAUGGCGGGGAAUAACUAGCCGAAAGGUUAGCUAAUACCGCAUAAGCCCUACGGGGGAAAGCAGGGGAUCGUAAGACCUUGCACCGAUGGAUGAGCCGAAGCCGGAUUAGCUAGUUGGUAGGGUAACGGCCUACCAAGGCGACGAUCCGUAGCUGGUCUGAGAGGACGACCAGCCACACUGGGACUGAGACACGGCCCAGACUCCUACGGGAGGCAGCAGUGGGGAAUAUUGGACAAUGGGGGAAACCCUGAUCCAGCGACGCCGCGUGUGUGAAGAAGGCCUGCGGGUUGUAAAGCACUUUUAGUGGGGAUGAAAAGUUCAGG